UGAAACCAUCACUUACAUUACUGCAAACCCAAGACACCGUUCAACUUUUCUCAAACGAGGCUGAUAGGAUUUAAAGGUCUCUGCCUGCCUCCCUGCUGGCUGCUAUCACCAUCUGAAUCUCAGUCCAGUAAAUUGCAUGUCUACCUGACUGCACCUAGCACAGUUCCCAGCACAUGGCGGGUGAUCGAUUAGUAUGAGCUGUGUAUGAAUGAGCCCCACAGCCGCCCUAGCACCAACCUGGAGGAGAGCGAGAAGGUAGGGUCAUGACUCACACAGGGGCGGGGGUUGAGG